UGCAGAUUCACUGGCAGCCUUGGGGAUACAACUCGUUUCUGCACCGCCCUUCCUGCCUUUGGAGAUCCUGCAAAUCACCCCGGUCAGCCAUGACAGCAUGAUUUACAACCUCGAGUUUCACGCACGAGCUGGGAGCUGUGGCUGGAGACGGAGCAUGUGAACACGCCCUGCGGCAGCCAGUUCCUCGGCGUGGUCUCUCCUUCUGAACGCUGACGAGCAUCUUUGCUCAUGGAAGCCAGUUGCCAGACUAGGAUCCCACAUCUCUGGAGGUGACGAGGUUGAGUCCAAUCCCACAGCCCGCUGAUGGCCUAGCUGAGUCCCCAAGUCCAGCUGUGAGGCAGUCAGGUGGUCUCAGCUCCUCAGCCUCCUGUUGUGAUGGUCACUCGCACCUCCUCCCAGGCGCUCUGCUGACUGCUUCGCAGAACUCUAAGCGCUCUCAGAGAAUGACAGGCCGAGUGCCUGGACCUCU